CGCGGGACCCAAGGCCCGUGCAGGAGACUCGGGGGCAGCUGGCUGGACCCUGAGGAGCCCUCCGCGGGACAAAGGUUUGGAGGGACAAGAGCAACCCAGUCCACAGAGAGCCAUGACUCGGAGAUGAGCACAGCGCUUGGCACGGAGGGAGCUCGAGGCCAGCCCUUCCCAGGUGAUCAGCCCAGAGCGUCUUCCUUUGCCAUCCCCUCUGUGGAACUUGGAUUUGAAGGUCCGAUUUGGGAGGGAUAGCCGCCGUGAUGAAGUUCUCAGAAGAAAUUCAGAACCAGCCGGCCACGCGCAGGCCCACAGC